GUCGCUUUAGCUCAAUUGGGAGAGCGCCAGACUGAAGCUCAGUCAUUAAAUCUGGAGGUACAGCGUUCGAUCCGCUGAAGCGACA
rnacentral:tRNA from 1 species